CAGUAGAAACCUGCCACCCAGAUUUACUUCAGAUAUUGAGACUGCGUGAUGCCACAUACACACACCAACGGGCCAGACUCCAAACAUCUAGGAAUGAAAAAUGCCCAUGGGCAUAAGUGUCCUGAACAUUCUUAUGGAUUUGGAACUCCAAGUCAACCAUUCAUUGCAGACCUAAAUAUUUGUAAAAAGGACAGUGCAGCCCAGCUUGGUACCCUCACAGAAGUAACUAAUGACUCAAAGGGAGCAGCAGGACCCCGCUGGAAGAGAGAUAAAGAUUUUUUAUGGCUUGCUGACUUGAAACAACCACGAGAACCAGUGAAGAGAUGGCUAAGCGGCCAUGCAUAGUAAUUCCACUG
rnacentral:lncRNA from 1 species